AGAGUUUGAUCCUGGCUCAGGACGAACGCUGGCGGCGUGCUUAACACAUGCAAGUUGUACGGUCUUGUGCUAUUGAAUCUCCUUCGGGAGUGGAGAGGUGCUAGACAGUAGCGAACGGGUGAGUAACGCGCGAGGACCUGCCCCGAGGGGGGGGACAGCAGCUGGAAACGGCUGGUAAUACCCCGUAUGCCGAGAGGUGAAAGGGCCCUUUUUGGGUCUGCCUUUGGAUGGACUCGCGUCCUAUCAGCUAGUUGGCGGGGUAACGGCCCGCCAAGGCGACGACGGGUAGCCGGCCUGAGAGGGUGUCCGGCCACACUGGAACUGAGACACGGUCCAGACUCCUACGGGAGGCAGCAGUGGGGAAUUUUGGGCAAUGGGGGAGACCCUGACCCAGCGACGCCGCGUGCGGGACGAAGGCCUUCGGGUCGUAAACCGCUUUUUCACGGGAAGAUAGUGACGGUACCGUGCGAAUAAGUCCCGGCUAACUACGUGCCAGCAGCCGCGGUAACACGUAGGGGACGAGCGUUGUCCGGAAUUACUGGGCGUAAAGGGCGCGCAGGCUGUGCGGCGAGUCGGCUGUAGAAAGGCGGGGCUCAACCCCGUUCCGCGGUCGAGACCGUCGUGCUGGAGUACUGCAGAGGCAAGCGGAAUUCCCGGUGUAGCGGUGAAAUGCGUAGAUAUCGGGAGGAACAUCGGUGGCGAAGGCGGCUUGCUGGGCAGUAACUGACGCUGAGGCGCGAGAGCCGGGGGAGCGAACGGGAUUAGAUACCCCGGUAGUCCCGGCCGUAAACGAUGGAUGCCAGGUGUGUGUGCAGCGAUGCAUGCGUGCCGCAGUCAACGCGUUAAGCAUCCCGCCUGGGGAGUACGAUCGCAAGAUUGAAACUCAAAGGAAUUGACGGGGGCCCGCACAAGCGGUGGAGCACGUGGUUUAAUUCGAUGCAAACCGAAGAACCUUACC
rnacentral:rRNA from 1 species